rnacentral:rRNA from 1 species
GAUGAACGCUGGCGGCGUGCCUAAUACAUGCAAGUCGAGCGAACAGACGAGGAGCUUGCUCCUCUGACGUUAGCGGCGGACGGGUGAUUAACACGUGGAUAACCUACCUAUAAGACUGGGAUAACUUCGGGAAACCGGAGCUAAUACCGGAUAACAUGUUGAACCGCAUGGUUCAACAGUGAAAGACGGUCUUGCUGUCACUUAUAGAUGGAUCCGCGCCGCCUUAGCUAGUUGGUAAGGUAACGGCUUACCAAGGCAACGAUGCGUAGCCGACCUGAGAGGGUGAUCGGCCACACUGGAACUGAGACACGGUCCAGACUCCUACGGGAGGCAGCCGUAGGGAAUCUUCCGCCAUGGGCGAAAGCCUGACGGAGCAACGCCGCGUGAGUGAAGAAGGUCUUCGGAUCGUAAAACUCUGUUAUUAGGGAAGAACAAAUGUGUAAGUAACUAUGCACGUCUUGACGGUACCUAAUCAGAAAGCCACGGCUAACUACGUG